CAGCGCCACGGUUCCACCGUCACCACAGCCGGACUCUCUCCGAAUGGACACGCUUGCUCUAUUCGUGAUGCAUUUGUUUUUUCUCGAUGUUCAGCCGCCCAGAGUACCGUAUAACACCAAGCAUAUACGACGAAGGUGAAGGUGGACGCACGGGUUUCCCUCUCUCGCUUACACACAUGCGCAUGCACGCACGCCUCCUCCAUUAUGCGGUGCCCACUCACCCUGGGUGUAUGUAUAUGUACAUACCUCCCCACGUGUAUAUCUAUACGUCUAGGUAAGCCUGCGUAUGCGUAUUUAUAUAUAUAUAUAUGUGUGUGUGUGCAUUUAUAUAAAUAGAUGUCUGCGUACUCAUGUGGAAGAACGCGCGAGGAACGGAAAGGAGUUCGAGAGGCGGGCGAACCAGGACGCACGCAAACAUCAGAGCAGAGCAGAGCGAAGGCGUGCGGCGCGCAUCUGCAGGUGUGCAUGAGUGCGCGCGUGGCACGUCGGCUCAGUGCGUGAAUGCCUCGUCUCUGUCGUGUGUGCGUUCAGCCACGGUUUGCCGGCUGUGCACCCCCACCCUACCCCCCGCACACACACACAAACCUCCCCCUCCCUCUCGCGCUCUCUUUGGCAG
rnacentral:misc_RNA from 1 species